AAAAAAACAAACCCUGAUUUUCAUAUCCAACGUUUGAUUGUCCGUCUUAUAUAAAUUUUUUUUAUAAUUAGUAUUUUCAUUGUUGUUAGAUGAUAAAACAUGAUUAAUACUUUAUGCGUAACUUGUCUUUUUAAUUUUUUUUUAUAUUUUUUUUAAAUAAAACGGACGGUCAAAUGUUAGACAAAAAAUAUGGUUUAUCUUUUU
rfam:Oryza sativa Japonica Group DNA, chromosome 1, cultivar: Nipponbare, complete sequence.